AAUAUUGCGCAAUGGAGGGAACUCUGAUGCAGCGACGCCGCGUGAGUGAUGAAGGCCUUCGGGUCGUAAAACUCUGUCCUAAGGGACGAUAAUGACGGUACCUUAGGAGGAAGCCCCGGCUAACUACGUGCCAGCAGCCGCGGUAAUACGUAGGGGGCAAGCGUUGUCCGGAAUUAUUGGGCGUAAAGGGUGCGUAGGCGGCCUUUUAAGUCAGAUGUGAAAGGUCACGGCUCAACCGUGGUAAGCAUUUGAAACUGGAAGGCUUGAGUUAAGGAGAGGAAAGUGGAAUUCCUAGCGUAGCGGUGAAAUGCGUAGAUAUUAGGAGGAAUACCAGUGGCGAAGGCGACUUUCUGGCCUUUAACUGACGCUGAGGCACGAAAGCGUGGGGAGCAAACA
rnacentral:rRNA from 1 species